UACGGAGGGGGCUAGCGUUGUUCGGAAUCACUGGGCGUAAAGCGCACGUAGGCGGAUUGCUAAGUCAGGGGUGAAAUCCUGGAGCUCAACUCCAGAACUGCCUUUGAUACUGGCGAUCUUGAGUCCGGGAGAGGUGAGUGGAACUGCGAGUGUAGAGGUGAAAUUCGUAGAUAUUCGGAAGAACACCAGUGGCGAAGGCGGCUCACUGGCCCGGUACUGACGCUCAGGUGCGAAAGCGUGGGGAGCAAACAGG
rnacentral:rRNA from 1 species